UAGUCAUAUGCUUGUCUCAAAGAUUAAGCCAUGCAUGUCUAAGUAUAAACAACUUUGUACUGUGAAACUGCGAAUGGCUCAUUAAAUCAGUUAUAAUUUAUUUGAUAGUACCUUACUACUUGGAUAACCGUGGUAAUUCUAGAGCUAAUACAUGCUAAAAAGUCCCGACUUCUGGAAGGGAUGUAUUUAUUAGAUAAAAAACCAACGCGGGCAACCGCUUGUCUGGUGAUUCAUAAUAACUUUUCGAAUCGCAUGGCCUUGAGCCGGCGAUGAUUCAU
rnacentral:rRNA from 1 species